GAUGAACGCUGGCGGCAUGCCUAAUACAUGCAAGUCGAACGAGAGGAAGGAAAGCUUGCUUUUCUGAAUCUAGUGGCGAACGGGUGAGUAACACGUAGGUAACCUGCCCAUGUGCCCGGGAUAACUUCUGGAAACGGAUGCUAAAACCGGAUAGGUAGCAGACAAGCAUUUGACUGCUAUUAAAGUGGCUUUGGCCAUGAACAUGGAUGGACCUGCGGUGCAUUAGCUGGUUGGUGAGGUAACGGCCCACCAAGGCGACGAUGCAUAGCCGGCCUGAGAGGGCGGACGGCCACAUUGGGACUGAGACACGGCCCAAACUCCUACGGGAGGCAGCAGUAGGGAAUUUUCGUCAAUGGGGGGAACCCUGAACGAGCAAUGCCGCGUGAGUGAGGAAGGUCUUCGGAUCGUAAAGCUCUGUUGUAAGAGAAAAACGGCACUCAUAGGGAAUGAUGAGUGAGU
rnacentral:rRNA from 1 species